ACGCAUGCCAAACGGGCCCUAAGCCAAUAAUACAAACGAGUGUUUGUUUUCCUUCUGUAAACCCUAAAUAGACUUGCUUCAAAUUCCCAAAAAAACAAAACAAUUCAGCCAUUUUUGGCAGAGCCCUCAUCUACACCAUCACGGGAAAAAAAAAAAAAAAAAAAAGUCGAAACUGCCAUCUGAAGAAUAGAAAAAUGAGUUUACGCUUCAGAGAUACAACCCGGGAUAAACAAAAGGAGGAUGAGCCACGGUGGUCUCCUAUUAAGAAGCAGUGAAUCCGUGUCUGGUGAAAGAGAAGAGAAGGAGUCUCUGACCUAAAGUCACUAAGAUCGUAAAGAUUGAUUUACAGAGAAAUGGCCCGUAUCGGCGACCAAUUCCUUACCUUCCUUUGCGCCUAUCACGCUGAAGGAUGUUUGUCUACGGAUUUGAAAAAUUGAGGAUCACGGUCAUCGCCUCUUUCUCGGCUUCCACUAGAAGAUGUCGCACAUUUGUGAAUCCCUAUGUGACCUUCACAGAUGGUGGAAGAAUGUGGCGUUGCAACAUUUGUGCUUUGCUUAAUGACGGUACAUGGAUGCUAUGGACUUUGGUGUUUUGAGUGACAUGCCUGAUAUUAGAAAGAAAGCUUGUCGUAAAUUGUUUAAGUAACAAGAGCUUCAUCGGGGCAAACUUUUAUCCAGUUACGAGGAUAUGGUACAUUGACUUAAUGGCUAUUAGUUUCAUUAGAAACAUGUCUCAUCUUAGAUCACAAGAUUGAAUGCAGUUAAAUAAACAGCCUUCUAAUUGAGUGAGUACGCAUUUGUUUUUAAGUUGGAAACUUAAAAUUGCAGCAUUGAAGGAACAUCAUUUUUUCAAAAUUGUUUCAUUGUCCCCAAAUUAUGAAGUGUACCAAUAACAGAACUCUGAAGAUAUAUGUCCAUGUUAAACCACAUGAAUUAACUGCUGUGGACCGUCAAAGAUUUUCACUUUGAACCAUUGUAUUACUAGUGCAGGAUUUGGAGGAAAUUAGUUUAUAUCCAUGAGGAUGGCUGACCUUUCAUCUUAGAUCACCAAUCACAUCAAGAAUAUAAUAAUGUGAUUGAAAGAUCGAUUCUUACCGUCAAGAUAUUGUACGGACAAGAGGGAGCUAAUAUAUAUUCAAAAUUGAUGGUUAUGUUCUUAUUUUGCAAAAGAUGAUUGUUUCUUUUCGAAUUUUGUGGUUUAGUUUUUAUUCCUUGUUGACGUCAUCAUAGUGUCUUAAUAUAUAUAUAAAUAUUUUUUUUUGACACGAUACUAGACUUGAUAUUUUUGGUUUAACGAAAAGUAAUGGAUUUUUGUUAUUUUUACUAAUACAUGUUAUGUUGCAAGUGGCUA